rnacentral:rRNA from 1 species
CAUUAAAAGUUCAUCCUGCCCAGUGACUCUUAGUUUAACGGCCGCGGUAUUCUGACCGUGCAAAGGUAGCAUAAUCAUUUGCCUUUUAAUUGGAGGCUAGAAUGAAUGGAUAAACGAAAUCUUAGCUGUCUCAUUUCUGCACUUAAAAAUUAAAUUUCAGGUGAAAAUGCCUGAAUCUCCUAGAAAGACAAGAAGACCCCAUAGAGUUUUAGUCCUAAAUAUCUUCCAUUUAUAUUAAGACUUUGGUUGGGGCGACCUAGGAUUAACAAAAACAUCCUUACUCAUACUCGGCUGAUAAGCCAACUAACCGAUCCUUAUUCAAGAGCAUCAAAACUAACUACCUUGGGGAUAACAGGCUUAUCUUCCUAAAGAGUCCAAAUCGACAGGAAGGUUUGGCACCUCGAUGUUGGCUUAGAAUAACCAACUAAUGCAGCAGUUAGUAA